CGAGAAAGACUGGUCAUCGCUGAACUAUUCAGAGGAAAGUCCGGACACCAUAGGGCAGCAUAGCGGGUAACGCCCGUCCACCGUAAGGUGAGGACAAGUGCAACAGAAAGCAAGUACAGUUCGGCUGUAGUGAAAUCAGGUAAACUCUAUGUGGUGCAAGCUCAAAUAGGCCAACGUUUUAUCACGGUCCGUGUGAGUUGGCGGGUAGAGUGCAUGAGCCUAAGAGUAAUUUUAGGCCUAGAUGAAUGAUGACCCUUUGACAGAAUCCGGCUUAUUUCUUUCUCGGUUU
rnacentral:RNase_P_RNA from 1 species